UUCGGGAAGGUAACAUCGCUGAGUCCAAAUUUAGUUUCGUUAUGUUGAAUUGAUUUUGUGAAAUUCGGUUUCGGCCAGUAGCAGUGUCUGAAGGGGGAAGAGUGCCCUCACGACGUGGUCAAGGCUGGAUCAAGUCGUGAGGUAAAACUUUGUGCUGUAAUUCAGGAAACGCAAAUGGCGUUUACGUGAUUUUGAGCGUGUGCUUCGCCUCACGGAAUCCUUCACAUGGGAGGACCAGCCGACCAGAGAUCCUCACACCGGACACCGUACACUAGCGGGGUGGAUACCGCACCUUCAGAAAGUUACGAAAUAUGUCUACGCAUUCACAGUUCUGCAUAAUCUAGUUCAAUCAGGAGUACGGAUAUAUACAUCCCAUGAAUUGGUGUUCAGAGCCUGGUACCCUUUUGACACCCUCAGCAGUCCGGGAUACGAGCUCACAAUUCUUAUGCAGAUAUUUGCAACAAAUUUCUACUUGACCAUUUUCUGUGGGUUCCAACUCUUAUAUGCUACGCUGAUUAUGGUCGCGUGCAGUCAGCUGCAGAAGCUCAGAACGAACCUCUUGGACAUAAAACAAAAACUGGUUCCAUCAGGAGCUGAUUCUGGCAGUGACGGGGAAGAAGAGCCAGUUUCCCGCUCCGAGGACCGGUUCUGCCGCAUGCAGACACAACUGAACGAGUGUGUUCGGCACCAUCAAGCCAUACUGCAAGCUGGGGAGACAUAACCGAUUUAACGGAAAUUCUCAUCAUAUAUGUAAUGGCGAUAUUUUACGUCUGUCUGUUAUGCAGACUUGGGACGGAACUCACGCUACAGGCUGAAAGGGUGAGAGACGCUGCCUGGGGGUGCGACUGGGUGGGAACCCCUGUCUCAUUUCAGCGCUGUCUGGCCUUCAUCAUCGCCACAGCCAACAAGGAGUUCACACUCACAGCCGGGAAAUUUGUGCCUGUGUCCAACUCCACCAUGAUGAGUGUAAUGAACGAGUCCAUCUCCCUAUUCAUGUUUCUACUCACCAUGAAGGACAAGCGUGAAGAAACUGUCACGGAGUAGUCUACUCAGCAUGAAGGACAAGCGUGAAGAGACUGUCACGGAGUAUCCUACUCAGCAUGAAGACCAAGAAUGAAGAAACUGUCACGGAGUAGCCUACUCAGCAACAGAAACUGGAAAAUGUGUCUGCUCCACACUGCAAUAUUUAUUGUGUUUUGUCCCCUCAUACUGAUUUACAAAUCCCACUGUGGCACAACCAUUUGCACAAUUCUUCAAGAAAAGUAUUAUUUUUGACGUAGUAUAAAAUGGGUAACUAACUGUAACUACUAGGAUCCGAGGUAAAAUUAAAAAAAAAAAAUUUUAACUAGAAUCUAAUUGCUGUGUUAUGUCAAACUUCACUUAAUGGAAAGAGAAAAAACAUGCAAGAAAUCUGUUCCUCAACUUAAACUCUCAGCAAGCAGGAAACUACAUUAUUAAAUGAUAUACAGUGAAAACAAAAUAAUGGCACCUUCUUCUCAUAAUAUAGGAAACACAGGACAACUUUAUUCUUUCCGCUAUAGAGAAGGAUAUUUACUGCAAUACAAGUAUAAUACAGCUGUAUUAACUUUCUAACAACACAGCACAAAGUAUAUGUACUGACAUAGCCAUUCUCUUCCUUAUUCUGUUAUACAUAUUUUUGUUAAAUUAACAAACACUUACGUAAACUUGAAACUCAUGAAUUUCCACGU